AGAAAAACACCAGCAUCUGGUGAGUGGUGUUUAUUCUGAGGUUACUCUUUCUAAAAAUAGUUUUCUGAAAACUCGCCCUGGUCGGCUGGGAAGCACACAGGCGGAGUGGCGAGCCAGUGAAUGGGAGGCUCUCCUGCAGCGGGGGCACCUUAGAGGCUGGUUGUGUGGGCCAAGAAUGCACUCGAAGAGCAGGAACAGAGUUUGCAAGGGGGGCUGCCGGUGUCCACGGGAACCGUGGCAGGCCAGACACACCCAUCCCUGGAGAAGCAGAAGGUCGGCUAGGAGCUAUGAACAUCCUUGCUGAGCCCCAGAAGUGAGGAGCAACAGGGGAGGAAGGAGGCUCCUAUCUUGAAGCUGUUGGGCACCUACGCAAGUGGCACAGGGAGGGGCAGGGUGUUGGCUCCGAGUGAGAGAUUUGCUUAAGCCAGAUGGUGGCCGAUGAAGGAGGCCCAGGCAACCCCUUCUGGUCUUCCAGACAGCACCACAGGUUUGUGUGGGUUGGAGGGGUGCUAUCUGUCUGUCCAUCCACAAGCACAUGCCAGAAAGAAGAGGAUGGAGGAGGUGAAGAUUUUGGGGGGUUCUCAUCAUUUUCCCUUUCCAAGUUUCAUCCUUAUCCAUGCUUCUAAUCACAUGGAGACCAUUACCACUGGGGGAGUCAUUUCCAUUUUUCUUUAGAUUCCAUUCUAAAAUCCCCUAAAGACCUAAAGUAAAGAACGUCAGCAGUGGCAUUUCUAUUCCUCUAAAGGGUAUUUUAGACAAUAAUUUUGGAUAGCCCCACACUGCAUGAAGCAGGGAACUGCAUGCCCUUCCUGCUCGGGAGCCCAGCCCUGCCUCCAGCAGCUCCAGCUUCCUUUCCUCUCUGUCAUGGUGCUGCCUUCUGAUGAGCAAGAAGUUAGUCCCGACUGGCCCUCGGCAAGCUGGGGCUUCUAAGAGAAGAAGGGCUGGGCUGCCCCCUGCAAAUCCUGGAUAAUGCCACUCAGGGAACGGGAGAAGCUGAUGCGCAAAAUAUGCCAUACCCCGCUGCUUUCCUCUCACUCAGACCCCAAGUCAGGUCGGAAGCAGCUCUUCCAGACCUCCCCCAAGGCAAGUUGCUAGAGGAUAAGGCUUUUAUGUGUUUCCUGAUAAAUGUGUGGGAGAAUCCAGCCUCCCUGGAUACUGGAGAAGUCUCCUAUCUGGAAUUGCAGUGUUACUGCUGAUCCAGCCUCCCUGGAUAUUGGAGAAGUCCCCUAUCUGGAACUGCAGUGUUACUGCUGAUCCAGCCUCCCUGGAUAUUGGAGAAGUCCCCUAUCUGGAAUUGCAGUGUUACUGCUGAAACAUGUAGUUUCUGAGCCUUUGUGUUAAGGCAGAGAAAAAUAGCAAACUUGGUAUUAAGAGAAUUCUGAGUUCUCAUGCUUGCUCUAUUCACAGCAAACUCUGAUUUCAGACAAUUCAUUGCACUUCUCCAGGCCUCAGUUUCUUUGUCUAUAAAAUAAGAAUGUUAGACAAGACUUUCUGUGAUGGCUUUUCUGGUUCAAAAUGUCCAUGAUUUCUGUCUGGUGAAUGUACAUGGGGUUUUAUUGUUGUUCGUUUUUUGUUUUUUCUUUAACUAUGUCUAGCCUACUACCCCACCUAAAAGUCAACAGAGAGAGCUCUGGGGUAAAGUGCAUGCCAACCUCAGAGUGCAUAGCCAUACUGUGUAGGAGGAAGCAAAUUUAGAAGGAAACAGGCUUCAUUUAUUCUGCCUGAUAUGGUUAUCUCUCUGAGGCUUGUGCCCAUGCAAGCGAGAUGAGAGUGCGGAGGAAGGCGGGGGGACACGCUGUCAAAUGUCAAAUGUUUAGCAAAGACUUUGAACUCUGACAAUUGAGUCUUCCGGUAACUUGUGUCUCUACUUUUGCAAAAAUGGAAGACGGGGGAAAGAAAAAAGAGAGAAGGAGAGAUAGGCAGAGAGAGAACAGAAAAUGAUUAAAUAUGACACCAUGGUCAUGUAGGUUUCAUGCAAAAAUUAGGCAAAUAAUAUCUAAAUUACUUGCAAGUAAUUUCAGCCUCUUUUCUUUGGCUGUCUUUCAGAAAAUCCCUGAUAAUAGCUCUGAACUAACACUGAAUUCCAGGUCAUCAUGAUACUCUUCCCAGCACAUAGACAUGGGGCCACCGCGCUUGUCCAUGUGCUGAAAAGAGGCACAAAUGUCCGAACCUACUGAGAAUCAUGCCAGUGUAGGAUGAGAACAUUCCUAAAGCCUCAGCCCUCGAGGGCUACAUAUUUGUUUAAGGAAAAUAAGGCAUGUGCAUACACUAAUGAACAAUAAAAUGGAACAGUGCAAGGUAUGAUUCGGGGCAAUAUUUUAUAAAGGUCAAGUACACAUAGGUGGGAAACACAUCUAGGAACUCUCAUGAGCAGGGUGGGAAUUAAAUGUUAAGGUGGGUGUGAGUUUAUAUAUAAUACAGAGGGGGUGUAUUUUGAAGAAGAAAUCAUGAAAAAAAUCACAUUUAGCUGUCAGCCACCUCCUCAUCUGCAUGUUUUGCCAAUCAAGGACAUAAAAUCUAUCAUUCUGUGCUUCAAGUCUCCACAUAGUAACUAGAAGACACAGAAAAUUCUUAUUCAUUUUGAAUUCUGAUAAUUUAGUGCAGGAAAUGGGUGAUGGCAAACUGAUUAUGUAUGAAGAGCCCUCAUUUUGCUGGUGAAGCCUGGGUAUGCCCAGCUACUAAUAACAAGUGGUCAGGCAACCAUGACAGCCUCCCUAUGUGAAUAUAAUGCUAAAUGUAUCUAAGCGAAUUUAGGACCACCUGUUCUGAUUUAUUUUUUAAUCCUUCAAAUACAACAUGGAGUUAGAUGGCUUCUCCAUCAAGACUUCAAUCUCAAAGGGCAAUACUGUGCGGCAAAAGAAGAGCUGGCUCCUGGAGGACUUCUGGGGCCCCAGGCAUGGAUCAAUGUUUGCAUCAGAAAAGAAAGCCUGUCAGCAAUGGAGGUGCUGGAGGAUUUCUGGAAGGGGGGGGCCUCAUUCAAGACCACCAAGGGACUGCUGACUGUUCUCGUUCAUGACGCCUCUCUUCAAGGAAAUUGACCCUCCCAGAGUGCAAGACGGAGAAAAAGGUUCUUAAGAACUUCCCCUGGAAAUCACCACUGAAUGGAUGCCAGGCAAUUCUAGAAUCUCCACUCUUUGGUUUUUUGGGCCCUUGGAUGGAUGAGAAGUGAUGUGCAGAUCUGAUGGGAAAAAUGGCAGAGACCACAGCUUCUCUCCUAAACCCUCAUUCAUUGCCCAUCGGACAAUUCUCCUGUUUCCGAUCCUGUAAGGUCACAAGGAUUUCUCAUUUCAGGUAGACCAGAAAAGAAGCCACUGAUGGAAUGCUGCAAGAAGGGGUUUACCAUGCGGUGUGAUUUCUGGGACCCCUUCUUCCCUGUUGAAAAUAUUUCACAGGCCCCCAGGACCUCCCCCAAAAGACAAGGGCAGAAACCAAAGAAAAUGCACUGUUCCAAUUUUGUCCAGGCUGCCUGUGGAAUGAGAAACCCAUGAGAAAGUUAUUGAGACUUCAGUUUUCUAUUCCUCUCCUUAUCCGGCCUCAUUACCUCCCCAACCCCUGAGAGAAAAAAUAAAUAAUUCACAAACAAAGGACGAGGGUGUGGUGGAUUGAGAGCAGGUUUGCUUGGUGACAGGAGGACUCUGUAGAGGGGGUCUGUUGGGAGGUGAGCAGGAGGGAGUGGCUGCUCCAGAGCCCACAGUUCUGUCCAGAAAGGUGGAAGUAACACAGGCAUCAUGAAGGCUU
rnacentral:lncRNA from 1 species